rnacentral:lncRNA from 1 species
GGGUCCCCCUUGUCCCGACUGGCCAGGUCAGGCUUCGAAGCCCCGAGACGCUCCGGGUUGUGCCACCCGGGGGUUCCUUUGGGAAAAUCCCCGUCGCCCUCGCGCCGCGCCGGGACUCGCGCGCCCCCCCGGCUCUCGGAGAAGCAGGCGCCGGGGCAGCCCCUGCCCGGCCAGCUCGCGGCCAGCUCCGCCCGGGGCAGGACAGGGCGCCGCGCCGACUCUCCCUACGCCUCCUCGCGAGCCCGACUGGAGCCGGGGAUCCCGCGCGAGGGUGCGUCCCGGGCCCUCCCUGCGCUGCCGCGAGCAACUUUGUGCGGGCGGCGCGGCCGGCAGGUGGGAGAAGGUGGCCGGCUAAGCGCGCCGCGGGAGGGUGAGUGCGGUCGGGUGUCCCCGCGCGCAGGUUCCCCUCUCGUCCACCUGGUGCCUCGGGCAGAGUUGUCGCUGGGGAUCCGGGGACGCUAGGUUGGGGGGGAAGCUUUCUGGAAGCUACUUGCGGCGACCAAAGAGCGAGUCAGCCGGACCCCGCCGCUCCCCGGGGUAGGGAGCGCGACCCCCGGUCCCUGUUCCCGGCUCUGGGAGCUUGAGGGCGUGACAGGCCACAGCCCGCCCCAGCUGCGCGACCCCGGGAGCGCCGGGCAACGCGGUCCCCCUGCUCAGGGAAGGGAUGAGCCGCGGUGCAGGUUACGGCGUCGCGCUGCGUGCGAUCCGCGCGUUCUGCCCCGCCGGCUCGCCUCGUCCCCGGGGGCGCGCGGGCGCGGGGGCCCGGCAGAGGGCGCACGUGUCCCCGAGCGCCGCGCGGGCCGGCCGAGGGGAGGGCACCGGCGGGAGCCUCCUCCAGGUGAGGAGCUCAGCGAAUCCGUCCCGGACCCGGUCCCCGCGCCGCGGCUCAAAGGCUGGGCGGCGCCGCUGAGCAGUGGGAGUGCGGGGCGGCCCUCGUGCGGGACGCGUUGGGCUUUCUGCUGCCCAGAGGUGCGGGGGACAGCUCGGGAAGACUCUUCCAGCUGCAUCAGAGACGGAUUAUUUCCUAACACCGUCGGGGAGAGGCCCACGCGGGAUGGUGAAUUCUCUCUGAGUCUCCCUCCACUAGCGGAACAGAAGAGCGAGUCCGAGUGGUGAACCCCGAAGACUCAGAGCGCUGGGAGGGUGCUUGGGACAUUCCACGGCGGAAGCCAUGAUUUAGGCGUCGGCGCCAAGGUAAGCGUGUGGGAGAGAAACAGCAGUUUUGUGGGGACCACCAUGGCUGGCAUUCCUCUGAGACUAGGUUCAGGCACGUGGUGAAGGGAGAUCUUGUGGGAACCGCAUCCAAUGCCCCAGUCGACCCUGAGAAAAAGGCCAGGGCUCCAGGAAAGACGCGGGUUGUGGACAGGCAGAGAGGCUGGGCCGCAGUGGCAGCUGGGAAAAUCCCUCGUUGUUUCUUCCGUGGUCCUGUGUCCUCUCAUGUCCCUGACAAACGCCGAGAAAGAAAAGGCCAGCUUCAUGUUGCAGUGAGCAUUGGCUGUGAAACAGUUUUAUUUAUUUGAGAAGCAGAGAGAGACAGAGAAAGAUACAGAGAGAGACAGCUCCCAUCUGCUGGUUCCCUCCCCAAAUGCCUUCCGUGUCCAGGCCUGGGCUGGCGCUAGGGCCAGGAGCCGGAACCCAAUGCAGGUCUUUGCAUGAGUGGCAUGGGGACCCGCUGGCAUGAGCCAUCGUCGCCGCCUACCAGUGGGGAAGCUGGAGUCAGGAGCCGGCGCUGGAAACUGAACCCAGGCACUUCUGUGUGAGUCGUGGGCAUCCUACCCAUGAGGCUUAGCAGGAGAGCCAGCCACCGAAGUAGUAGCAGAAGCAGCCUUCAGGGAGCUCUGUGCAGUCUGACCUGCCUUUGUGGGCCAGCAUCUCCCAGAGUGUGUUCCCUAGAGUCUUAAGGCAGGUGGAGAGGGGUUGCAAUAUGGGUCUGCACCCCAGUGAGCCUGGCAAACGUUGGGUUACUGUGUGGCAAGCUCCCUCCGGACUAAUGAGCCUUGUGAAUCUCCGUGGGUGUGUGUACCCAGCCAUGCUCACCAGAGGGCCCACGGGUGUCCCCCACCAGGGCACAUCUCGGGGCCAGUUCUGCCUUUGCUUGUACGGUGUAUGUUGAACU